rnacentral:tRNA from 1 species
GACGGUGUAGCUCAGGGUAGAGCGCACGCGAAAGCGUAGAGGUCGGCGGUUCGAUUCCGCCCACCGUUCCCA